GGUUGCGAUCAUACCAGCACUAAUGCACUAGAUCCCAUCAGAACUCCGCAGCUAAGCAUGCUUGGGCGAGAGUAGUACUAGGAUGGGUGACCCCCUGGGAAGUCCUCGUGUUGCAACCCC
rnacentral:rRNA from 1 species